UGGAAACCCAAAUCCCGGGCAACUAAACAAAACCGACGUUAACACUUGUUAAGCGACACGACGACUGUUAACCUCAUUGUUGUCACGUCUCAAGAGUUUUAUGUUGUCGAAUGUUUCAAGUGGGUCUGCUUCCACGGACAACAAGAUUGGAGAGGAGGCGGGACCAAAGGAAUGGAACGUUUCCUGUGGAUGAACACUAGAGGGAGCUGUCGUGUUGUGGCGUGAGGAGCCCGGGAGGCCCAUGGAACAGGCCGGGUUGUAGACGCCGUUGUAGCCGUUGCCGUAGACGUUGGAGGCGGCCAGGGAGUAGUCCGCCUCCCCGGUCCUGUUGGGGAGCAAGCAGCCGCUGGACUGGUCCGAGCUGUUGAGGAUCUGGUCGAUCCCAAAGCUGAUGGGUUCGUGUGCGUCACAGGUCCGACAUGGUGCCUUCAUGGCCGGGUCUCUAGGAGACGGCAUAUUCCAUUUUGGAGCGCCAAGCACCGACACUUUAGUGAUCCGAAUCCCAGCAGCUCCCGCCGAGAGCCUGCAUAGGUCCUGAAUGGAUGCUGCAGAACCAGGACCAGGACCAGGACCAGAGACCGACCAGCCCCGGAAAAGCAAACCAUGACCCGGUGCGCAUAAGUCAGGACUUUUGUUUAUUACAAGCCAGCCAGGAAACUUGUGUUGCGUUCAAGUGCAGGUGAGAAGAAACCCUCCUCCUUGUCCUCAUCCUCCUCUUCUUCAUCCUGCUGCACGUCUCUUAAAGGCUUUGCCUGCGGUUGUCUGCUGUGAUGAAUGUUUGUCUUCAGGCGAUGCUGCUUCUCCUGUCUGCUAAUAAAGAAGAACAU